AAAUAAUACCAAUGCGCGUCUCUGCAUUGUGCCUCUAUUUGUGUGUAUUGUAUUUAUUAGUUAUUCACCUGCCAAUGUUCUCACCUGCCUGUUCCUUGUUCUUUCGCUGUCAUCUCAUUAUAAUUCAUCAUAUUAUCAUUAUGUAAAUACAAUUUUAAAUAACUAUCACUUACUACCUUUAAAAUAUAUUACAUGUUUAUAGUAACACACCAACAGGUAUGAGAUUU